rnacentral:sRNA from 1 species
GAGUUCACCAUUUUGCUGCAUCGCUGC